CCUACGGGAGGCUGCAGUGGGGAAUAUUGGACAAUGGGCGAAAGCCUGAUCCAGCCAUGCCGCGUGUGUGAAGAAGGCCUUCGGGUUGUAAAGCACUUUCAGUGGGGAAGAAAGCCUUGGGGCUAAUAUCCUCGAGGAAGGACAUCACCCACAGAAGAAGCACCGGCUAACUCCGUGCCAGCAGCCGCGGUAAUACGGAGGGUGCGAGCGUUAAUCGGAAUUACUGGGCGUAAAGCGCGCGUAGGCGGUCUGAUAAGCCGGUUGUGAAAGCCCCGGGCUCAACCUGGGAACGGCAUCCGGAACUGUCAGGCUAGAGUGCAGGAGAGGAAGGUAGAAUUCCCGGUGUAGCGGUGAAAUGCGUAGAGAUCGGGAGGAAUACCAGUGGCGAAGGCGGCCUUCUGGACUGACACUGACGCUGAGGUGCGAAAGCGUGGGUAGCAAACAGGAUUAGAUACCCGUGUAGUC
rnacentral:rRNA from 1 species